CGGGGAUCUGUAACCAGUCAACCAACCGGGCAACAAUCAGUUUAAGAUUCUCGAAGAGACAUCUUUGGUGAAGCAGGGUCCAUGUGAGACUAGAGGAAGGCAGAGUGAUGUGGGUGUGAGGACAAGAUCCGUGGUCUGUGAAAUCACGACGAGCUCCUGCAGGAGGUGGUACUUGGACCAUCUAAGGAGGACAGGCUGCGUGUUAGUUUGGUGUAGGUACCACUUCCUGCUCCCACAUCAGCCGGAGCGUGGCGUGAAGGGCUGGUGGCGGCGAGGACACACCGGGGGAUUACCGCCUGCCUGGAGCAGCAGCCUCAGAGCGAGGAGGUGAGACCACAACACCCUCCCCUUCCCCGAGGCCUCCUUUGGCCUUUCUGAGCUUCCUCUGCUCACACAGGUAGGGAGCGAUACCAGCGGAAAAUAUCCUGUCGCUUCUGGGAGGCCGAAAGAGAAGGGCGCCGAGAGCCAGGGGAGAGCCCCCCGGUCGCAGCUUCCCUUCGGGUCCAGGGACUGCAGUAUGAAGGGCAAGGGCAGCUCAGAGAAUAGCUGAAUGCUUCUAAGCAAUGUUUAACCCAGGACUCCAAGGCACCAGCUGGUAACACUGCGCAGACCUCUCGCUUCCGCCCCAGGCUGUAAAACAGUUCACUGGCCCAGAACAUGGACCCGUGGGGAAAUUUAAAGCGCCACUGAAAUAGGAGAUGUCACCAUCUUCGUCUGCACUGUUGGUAUUACUACCAUUCCGGUUUCUUCUUCUGCUAAAAGUGGAUUCGUUCCCGGCACAGGAAUGAUAGCAACCUUACACCGAGCAUCGCUCGGCGCCAGGCGUCGUUCUUAAUUGUCUCUGCGCUCAGCCGGGAGCGGUGGGACGGAGCCGGGCGCGCAGGGGCGUGCAGUUCCCGCUGUGUCCGCUGGGUGGCGCAGGCGCCGCACUUACGGGAACCUGGUGCUGCAGGCGGCGGGCCUGACCUCGAGGGCCCCAUCUGCAGCCCAGGCCCUGGACGCCCCAGCCUGGACCUGGGAGGGCUGCUGCGGCCUGAUCCCGGCUCGGGUUCCUUCCCUUUGCUUUCCAAAAACUUUUCUCCUGGGGGAAUCGCAUCUCACGGAGCAGGCUCCAAGGCCACGGGCUUGACCACAGACUGGAAGGUGCUAAACUUGCUGGAAUUUUCUGUGCUACAGAAACAGCAGUUCAGCAUUAUGUGCUUACGACAGACAGCUUGCUCUGAGGCAGCCAUGGGCUGUCUGGGGCCCCCACCCCAGGACCACACGGAGGGACUGGAGCAGGAGUCACCCGGAUGCGCCAGGCACCUGGACACAGACUCUUCAAGGUUUAUUUUGUCACACCUGAGAGCCAGGUGUGCCAUUUCCAUUUCUGUAAUUUUCCCAUUCUCCCUGAGUGGUGUCCAUGUUUGUACCAUUGACCGAUGAGGAAAGCGAGGCUGAGCGAAGCUUAUGGUGGGGCCACCCUAUAGAAUGUGGUGGCGCCCACCUGUGCGUCCUGGGUGCCUCGAACAGCAAGGGCUCAGUAAGUGCGAGUCCAGUGAAGGGCAGAUUCACAAUCCAAAUUCUUUCUGCUUCAUCACAGCCUCCGUAGUCGAAAAGCCGGGGCCGUCAUCUUGAGCUUUUUCAUUGAAGACGCAAGAAUCCUGUGUCCCCUACCUUCUCUGCUUUAAUUCUGGAGUUGCGUAAGCCAGUUAUCAUUUCGUGCCCUAAACCAAAGAAUAAACUUUACAGCUGCAAACAUAAACGUUACAAAGGACAAGCUCUGGCCCACGGGGAAGACAAGUAGCUGCGGGCCAGCUACACGGGGCCUUGGGAUUUAUCUCCUAAGUCAUCACCAGGGCGUCCCAGGAUGGCAGUUUAGAGACAGAGAAAACUAGAGUGUUUCCGCUCUGAUUCCUUACUUGUCCUAACACGGAGCAAGUGACUGAGGGGCCAACUGUGGGCCAAGCUCGGAAGGCCGGGAGGAAAGUGUCUGUGUCGUGGAGACAGGAUCCAAAGCAGCCCAGUUCAGACAAAGCAUUUUGCCUCUGAAACUUCUGGAAACGUCUUGGCCCUUGACUGCGGUAGAGCAUGAGCCAAACAUUUUAGAAACCAUUGAAGCUCACAGGGUGGAGGCCAGGAGUGGGAGUGGUGGUCUUUAAGGAGCUUGUCUUCAUUUUGAGGGCCACACAAAAAUGAGAUGGGCACAAAACUGAGGUCUUGCCAGAAUGGUUUUUCUGACAAAAACUAAAAGAAAAAAAUGUCUAAGAAAAUAUGUGAAAUGACAGGCAAUGACAGAAAGAGAAAGGCCAUCAUAAAUUCUGAUAGAAAAUAAGGGACAGAUGUUCCCACUUCAUCUGGGACCUGGUUCAGGUCCCCCCUCCUCCAGGGGGGCUCCUGUAGCAACACUGGCAUCUACGCUUCUUUAGCCUCAUCUAAAGUGUUUAUAAUGUGUCGAAUACACCACAGUGUUCCAAACAGUCUACUUUUAUAUUUGACUGAACUGCUUUCUCCAAUACCCAGUUUGGGGUCAGGAACUGCAUCUUUAUGAGAAGAAUGAUAAUCCCUAGUAAGCACUGCCUUUAGAUCCAGGCAAGAGGUCCUGGCACAGCACUUUCAAGGAAUAAGCCCACCUCCUCCCUUCUAGAACAUUCUCCAUGUACCCAGGGCCCAGGUUGCCAGCCCAUUGAAUGGCCAAGGGGCAACUAUUUGCAGGGCGUCUGCUUGGAAGCAGAGCUGGGUGUCCACAUGCCCGUAUGUGAGAGUUUUCAUGGGACUGGAGACUGGCGGGAAGAGAAGGAGUUGGCGGCAGGCUGGGCACCAGGGACCGUCUCCCUGUGCUGCCACAUUCUAGUAUGGAGCUCCAGGGAGGCCAAGAAUUCUACAUUUGAACUGGACUUUCCAGCUUUGUGUUGCUCUAGGAACUUAAAAGGCAGUGAGAUCGGGGCACCUGUGGGCGGAGGGUGCCUGGCGUGGAGUGGGAGAGGUGAGGAGAGGUCUCCAGCCUGAGGAAUGCAGGCUCCCAUUGGAUCUCUUUUCCCAGGCCUCGCAAACAUCAGAGGCAGCCUGGGUAUGUCCUGGCUAGUGCAGUCCCUGACAGCUGUUCUCGUCUUGCUGUUGCUAUCACCUAUCUGGAGCCAAGAAAGAAGUCACCAAAAUAAUGAAAUGCCUCACUAAGCUUAAAACAAAACAAUGGGGACUUUCCACAUACGUAAGUUAUGAAAAACAAGGUGGAAACUGCAGCUCCCUGUAAUGAAUUCAAAGACUCUGUUCCAAGAUGGAGAUAACGUCAAACAAGGGAGUUGAAAGCAAGGGGGUGGUUAGGAGAGAAAGACAGAUGACGCUGAGCGGAGAGUACACCAGGGCUCUGUCUCACGAACAAAUGUGCAUUAUUUGUGGUACCCGUUCUACUGAUUUAAAACACAGCAUAACUUCCUCUGUCCAGUUGGCACUGAUGUAAAAUGUGGGCAAACGCACAUGGUUAGGCUAGAGCGAUGCUCUCUUCCAUACUACUGAAAAGACUUACCAAGAAAACGCAGAGAACAGACAAGAGUGCGAGGAAAAUGUUAGGUUUAAUUAAGAAAUCAGCUGGUUAAAGGACUUUAGCACAAUAACGGUUGGUAUGGGGGUGGCCCUGUGGAUUGUGGAUGAGUCAUCCAAUCUUUGAAGGAGGCCGAACAGGAUCUCUUCUUGGAAGGACUCAGGGAGCAUUCUGAGUUGUUGAAAGGUAGCCAACUGCAUUUUGUCGUCACCAGGCGGUAACUACUGAGUCCUUUUAAGCCUGACAACAGCAGGUAACAUCUGGUCGGUGUUUGCUUCAUGCUAAGCGCUUGGUUGAGCGCGUUCCAAGUAUUUAGACCUCACAACAGGCCUAUGAAGUGUGGAACACUAGUAUUAUCGCCGUUUUACAGAAAGGAAACUGAGGCAGUCGGAGGCCCAAAUUACCCAGCUGAAUACCAGGGAAACAAAGACACGUACAGCAGUUUCUCUGUCUUUAAGAAGUUUACUAUCCAGUAUUUUUUUUAAGGUUGUACAUUUUCUAAUCUCACCAAGUUGAGACCAGCUUCAUCUUUUGACUGAUGUGAAUUUGGUGGCUUUCACGAAAAUAAAACAAUGUGAAAUAUUUUUCUAACCAAUUAACUGUUGUCGUGGAUUAUAAUAGGAAGGAGGAGAAAACUGUCUUGUGGAAUAUCCAAUCCACACUCGGGAAUCGACUGUCUGCAGAACAUUGUUAUUUCCAGAUUGGAAUGUGGUAUUUAUUAUGCCUGAACAAUGACAAAAACACUGAAAAUUUUGUGACAAAACCUCAGGGAGGCUAUUAACAACUUGGCAUUUCUAAUUCAUGUGGAAAUGCUCAUUUUAUUUAUCAGAGUUGUAGCGAUGGUGUUCAUUUAAUUAAGAAGCUGGUACGGUAGCAGGGCAAUUUUGUGAAGGUCAUAAUACCGCAGAUAAACAUGAAUGCAAAUGCAAAAGAAAAUUGGCUAAGUAUCUAACUGCCAGCUUAUUUUCCUCAGAACCUCUCAUUUCACAUGGUUUGAGAGCUGUUUAACAAAGGAAUUAUAUGAAUACAUUGCAUCAUUUUACAAGACUUUUUAUGACAAAUUCAUGUAACUGUAACAAUACUAGGCUAAUAAAUAACCAAAAAGGAAAGUGCCCCCAACUUUGACAAUAACUAAUAGAACUGUGUGUGUGUGUCGAAGGCAGGUUAAGAUCCAGUAGCUUUUUCAGCUGCAAAGAAAGCGUUGGCAUAAUCUAACCUGUGACAAGUAUUAUAAAACUAAAGAGGUGAGAAAGCAGGUUUGAACGAGAAAGAAUCCGAGAAAAGCAGAGAAUGCGGAUCAGAUGGAAACUGGAAGGAGACCCAAAAAACUGGAAAGGGCGGCACAGCACACCCACGAGCCGUGGCUGGCGCCCACACCUUCACAGGAAGCAUGGCUCACCUGUCUAAGCCGCCAGGUCUGGUUAGCUCAUGGGUCCGAGUGUGACGGGGCUGUGCCACGUCCACGGCCCAGCCUUCCGAAGCCACCUCAUCUCAAGGACGGCAUUCAUUUGUUCACAGCAAGCGUUUGUUGAGCGCUAAUUAUGUGCUGGCUCAGGGAACACACCCAAGAACAAGGAGAGCAGGUCCGUGGCCUCGAGAGCUGACAUCUGGAUCGGAGGAGACGAUCUGUAAACUGUAGAUAAAGAAUUGUGAGAGUUGCAGGUGGCAAUUUGUGCUGUGAAGAAAAUAAAGCAAGUGGGCCACCUGGAAGAGUGACAAAAAACAGACUUCACUGUUCAAGCUGAAAAUGCCCAGUAGAGGUCCAUUAAGAUAGCUAAAUAAAGUGCCUCGAGGGUCCUUCAAACACAGGACAACAAUGAGCACCUGAAGGACAGCAAAUGAACCAAGAGCACAGAUCAUCAGAAACAGAGCCAUUAGGAAGCAAACGCUGUGGGACUUGCUUGCUUUCUGAAGUGGAAUGAAGGGGCCAGUGAGGCACAGGCUGUGAAUUGCCGUUGUUCUGAAAUCAGUGCUGAAAGUUGUGAUCUCGAACAGAACGCUAGGUACUUUCUGUUUUGUUUUUCCCACUGAUCUCCUGGACUGCCAGCCCUCUGCGACCAAUCGCCAUUCCAGAAUGAUGAUCGGCAAGCUGCCUCCUGGAUUCCUCUACUCUGUGCAACCCAGGACCCACCCCAGCUUUCAGGCCGUCGUACUUGCACGUGGGGGAAAAGGGGGUCUCAGGUGAGCAGAAGCACCUUGGAAGACGGGCACAUUUUUCUUCCAAAUGUAAUUUUGAUAGAGAUAAAAUUUACUUUCAAAGAAAAUUUAAUUUUGACGAUAGAAGGAUGGCAAAAUGCCUGAAGACAGCCACAUAACGUAAGAGGAAAUUCAUGUGGCCACUAACUGUGGUCCUGGUCUGCCAUCUACACGUAGUGCCUUUGCUCUGCAGAGACCUGAUGCCUGAUGUGUGUAGCUGGUCUCUGGAGGGAACGUGCCCCGAAGUGAUUCCCAGAGGAGCCGAUAUCUCUUCCAGAAUAAACCACCAGAAACAAUAUUUGAACAGAAAUGUUAAUGCGAGCUUCAAACAGAUUAGAGUGGUUUCCCACAUCUGAGGAGGCUGGAUCCAUUGCUAAGUUGACCUACGGCCCAUGUAGUUGUGUUUGUCUGUGUGCCUGUAAGAGCUGCUGGGGGGCAUCUCUCCCUUGCUCUCUAUCCUCAUGUAAUUCUCAUAUUUGUUCAUAAAGAUCCUGCUGUAUGUUCCUGGGUCCCGUCUCAUCUCCCCCAUCAGAUGUUUAACUCCCUGUGGACAGAGCCUUCCGUGUCCUUUGUUGUCGCUGGUACACGCCCAGCAUGCUCAGCACCGUGGCCUGCUCUGCGGCAGUCGACACAGUCCAUGAGCUAUGGAAAAACACCGCGUUGAAAAAUAGGCCUGGUGGGAUACGGGCAACAGUUUCCUAAACAUUACCUACCAUCCUCUCAGCCCAUCCUCGUGUUCACCUGUUAUUCUAGUGACCAGAAUCCCGUCACAACCAGCCUCUCGGUUCUGGAAGACUUUAAAAUCUAUAGCUUUCUCCAGACAAGAGAAUAGCCCUCAAUUUCCAGGACCAAAAAAGGAAUGUGCUCCCACUCAGCGGGUCUGGGCCGGCUGCCUGAGGUGGAGAUGGGGCAGGGGUUCCAAGCACUCCUCAGUCUCCACCCCGGCUAGCCUCCCUCCCGCCUCCCACUCACACAGGGUCACGGAGAAGGCUGUGCACAAGCCUUUGUCCAUCCCUGACAACCACUGAUACAAGGCAGCGACUGGAUGCCUCACAUCCUGCCUGGAACACCACCCUUUCUUCCUCCCACCCCUUUCUAAAAAAUAAAUAAAUCCUCUGUGUAAUGUGCAGUCUUUCAAAGACACAAUGGGGCACCAUGCCUUUAGCACAAUACAGGUGCCCCUGGCAUCUGGCAAAUAGGGCCCUAGUUCCCUGGCCUGGACUUUAGUGUUCUGCUCAGAUCCCACAGCUGAGAGGAGGCUGGAGCUGGUGGGGGGCACUAACAAGCCUGAGGGGCGCAGGCAUCUCCACUUGGCACUUGCAGCCCACAGAUCUCCUCUCCACAUGGGCUCUUCGGCUGUCACCCAUCCUCCCGCUUUGGUCUUUGGGGCGGCUAUCCUUCUCCACCUGCCUGGGUCCUGCACACCUCAGGGCCUGCGUGGCUCAAGGCAGCUCGCUUCAAUAGGAAUGCAAACCAUGGCUGAGGAAGAAAGCAAAACUGGAGGCCAG
rnacentral:lncRNA from 1 species